rnacentral:rRNA from 1 species
UACGAAGGGGGCUAGCGUUGCUCGGAUUCAUUGGGCGUAAAGGGUGCGUAGGUGGCGCUGUAAGUCGGGUGUGAAAUUUCGAGGCUUAACCUCGAAACUGCAUUCGAUACUGCGGUGCUUGAGGACUGGAGAGGAGACUGGAAUUCAUGGUGUAGCAGUGAAAUGCGUAGAGAUCAUGAGGAAGACCAGUGGCGAAGGCGGGUCUCUGGACAGUUCCUGACACUGAGGCACGAAGGCCAGGGGAGCAAACGGG